rnacentral:rRNA from 1 species
UACGUAGGGUGCUAGCGUUGUUCGGAAUCAUUGGGCGUAAAGCGGGUGUAGGUGGCUCUAUAAGUCAGGAGUGAAAGCCCCGAGCUUAACUUGGGAAGUGCUUUUGAUACUGUAGAGCUUGAGUGUGGGAGAGGAUCGUGGAAUUCCAGGUGUAGUGGUGAAAUACGUAGAUAUCUGGAGGAACACCGGUGGCGAAGGCGGCGAUCUGGCCCAACACUGACACUGAGACCCGAAAGCAUGGGGAUCAAACAGG